rnacentral:rRNA from 1 species
GGAACGAGUUAUCUGAACCUUCGGGGAACGAUAACGGCGUCGAGCGGCGGACGGGUGAGUAAUGCCUGGGAAAUUGCCCUGAUGUGGGGGAUAACCAUUGGAAACGAUGGCUAAUACCGCAUAAUAGCUUCGGCUCAAAGAGGGGGACCUUCGGGCCUCUCGCGUCAGGAUAUGCCCAGGUGGGAUUAGCUAGUUGGUGAGGUAAGGGCUCACCAAGGCGACGAUCCCUAGCUGGUCUGAGAGGAUGAUCAGCCACACUGGAACUGAGACACGGUCCAGACUCCUACGGGAGGCAGCAGUGGGGAAUAUUGCACAAUGGGCGCAAGCCUGAUGCAGCCAUGCCGCGUGUAUGAAGAAGGCCUUCGGGUUGUAAAGUACUUUCAGCAGUGAGGAAGGUGGUGUGCUUAAUACGUGCAUCAUUUGACGUUAGCUGCAGAAGAAGCACCGGCUAACUCCGUGCCAGCAGCCGCGGUAAUACGGAGGGUGCGAGCGUUAAUCGGAAUUACUGGGCGUAAAGCGCAUGCAGGUGGUUUGUUAAGUCAGAUGUGAAAGCCCGGGGCUCAACCUCGGAAUUGCAUUUGAAACUGGCAGACUAGAGUACUGUAGAGGGGGGUAGAAUUUCAGGUGUAGCGGUGAAAUGCGUAGAGAUCUGAAGGAAUACCGGUGGCGAAGGCGGCCCCCUGGACAGAUACUGACACUCAGAUGCGAAAGCGUGGGGAGCAAACAGGAUUAGAUACCCUGGUAGUCCACGCCGUAAACGAUGUCUACUUGGAGGUUGUGGCCUUGAGCCGUGGCUUUCGGAGCUAACGCGUUAAGUAGACCGCCUGGGGAGUACGGUCGCAAGAUUAAAACUCAAAUGAAUUGACGGGGGCCCGCACAAGCGGUGGAGCAUGUGGUUUAAUUCGAUGCAACGCGAAGAACCUUACCUACUCUUGACAUCCAUAGAACUUUCCAGAGAUGGAUUGGUGCCUUCGGGAACUAUGAGACAGGUGCUGCAUGGCUGUCGUCAGCUCGUGUUGUGAAAUGUUGGGUUAAGUCCCGCAACGAGCGCAACCCUUAUCCUUGUUUGCCAGCACUUCGGGUGGGAACUCCAGGGAAACUGCCGGUGAUAAACCGGAAGAAGGUGGGGACGACGUCAAGUCAUCAUG